AUGAGGAGGUUGCGGUUGCAGCAGCUCGCCGUCGUCGUGGCGGUACUGGCGGUGGUGUGUCCGGCUUUGUGCCGGGAGCAGCAGAACAAUGGGACGGCGGCGGUGGCGGGGGAGGAGAGGCGGAGUCCGAGGGCGACGGCGGUGAUCGUGUUCGGCGACUCCAUCGUUGACCCGGGGAACAACAACAACCUGCACACCCAGAUCAAGGCCAACCAUCCGCCCUACGGCAAGGACUUCGACGGCCACGUCGCCACUGGCCGCUUCUCCAACGGCCUCGUGCCCUCUGACCUCGUCGCCCAGAAACUUCACGUGAAGAAGCUCGUUGCUCCGUGGCUCAAUGUCGACCACACUCCGGAGGACCUCCUCACGGGCGUUAGCUUUGCCUCAGGCGCCACAGGAUAUGAUCCCCUAACUCCAAAGAUCGUGAGUGUGAUCACGCUGGAACAACAACUGGAGUACUUCGAUGAGUAUCGCCGCAAGUUGGUGGCCAUCGCCGGCGAGGAAGAGGCCGAGAGGAUCAUCGACGGCGCCUUCUUUUUUGUGUGCGCUGGCUCGGAUGACGUGGCCAACACCUACUUCACCACUCCGUUCCGAAUCCUGGAGUACGACAUCCCGUCCUACGUGGACCUCCUCCUCGUCGGCGUGGACAAGUUCCUCCGAAGCGUGAGCGCUCGCGGAGCAAAGCUUAUCGGUUUCGUGGGCCUUCCACCUAUCGGGUGUGUGCCGUCGCAGCGGACGGUCGGCGGCGGGUUGCACCGUCGCUGCGAGCCCAAACGCAACUACGCGGCACAACUCUACAACUCGAGGGUGCAGGUGCUCAUUGACGGGUUGAACGCGGAGCCUGGGUUCAACACCCGCGUUGUCUACUUGGGGAUCUAUGACAUCAUCCGAGAGCUCGCCGAGGGCGGGGAGCGGUGGGGGUUCACAGAGACGACCCGCGGGUGUUGUGGGACUGGGCUCAUUGAGGUGACGAAUCUCUGCGACUCGAGGUUCAUGGCGGUGUGCCAAGACGUAUCCAAGCAUGUCUUCUUCGACAGCUUCCAUCCCACGCAAAGGGCGUACAAGAUCAUUGUUGAUAACAUGUGGGACACCUACGGCCACCUCCUGCAACCCUAA
rnacentral:rRNA from 1 species